rnacentral:rRNA from 1 species
AGUGAACGCUGGCGGUAGGCCUAACACAUGCAAGUCGAACGGCAGCACAGUAAGAGCUUGCUCUUACGGGUGGCGAGUGGCGGACGGGUGAGGAAUACAUCGGAAUCUACUUUUUCGUGGGGGAUAACGUAGGGAAACUUACGCUAAUACCGCAUACGACCUACGGGUGAAAGCAGGGGAUCUUCGGACCUUGCGCGAUUGAAUGAGCCGAUGUCGGAUUAGCUAGUUGGCGGGGUAAAGGCCCACCAAGGCGACGAUCCGUAGCUGGUCUGAGAGGAUGAUCAGCCACACUGGAACUGAGACACGGUCCAGACUCCUACGGGAGGCAGCAGUGGGGAAUAUUGGGCAAUGGGCGCAAGCCUGAUCCAGCCAUACUGCGAGGGUGAAGAAGGCCUUCGGGUUGUAAAGCCCUUUUGUUGGGAAAGAAAAGCAGCAGGUUAAUACCCCGCUGUUCUGACGGUACCCAAAGAAUAAGCACCGGCUAACUUCGUG